rnacentral:lncRNA from 1 species
AAUCAUGUGUAUUUAUGAUAACCCGUAAAUUAAGCAUUAGAAGGAAGAAAAAAAAAAUUCUCUCAAAAAAAAAAUGUUUUUUUAGUAACCUCAAUGCAAUUGCAAUUGUUAAUAAAAUUCAUGUGACCAUCUUCAUAAUCACCUAUUAAUUAGCUUGCAUUUGGAUGAUUUCUUCUUGGUGCCACGUUCAAGAUACAGUGGUUGUGUGAAUUUGUUGCAGGUUAAUCAAACGUCUUUAAUUUUUAAUUAAAAAAGAGGCUAUUUUCUUGCAGAUCUGAUUCUUAAAUAUUGGAACCGCAUGCUUCACAGGUUGGUAAUUCCUUAUUUGCUUCACAGGUUGGUAAUUCCUUGUUUGCUGUACAGGUUGAGAUUUCUCGUGGGGAAAAUUAAUUCUCAUAUUGAUAUGAGUUUCAUGGAUGUUGAAUCCAAAAAAAAUAAAAAAUCAAACGCGUUUUUUGAAUUAAAAAUCCUAAAAAAAAAAAAAUUAGUGAUUGGCUUUUGGAUUUUAAAAAUAACCUUGUGCUUUCUUCAUGCCUUCGAUUCCAAUCAAAAUUGGGUAAUAAUCGUUGAAUUUUAUUGUGUGCCAAGGUAGAUCCAGU